rnacentral:tRNA from 2 species
GGUGGGGUUCCCGAACGGCCAAAGGGAGCAGACUGUAAAUCUGCCGUCAUCGACUUCGAAGGUUCGAAUCCUUCCCCCACCACCA